rnacentral:tRNA from 1 species
GCCAGCAUGAUGUAGUGGUUUAAGUCUUGGACUACAACUCUGGAGACCAGGGUUCAAAUCCCUGCUCAGCCA